rnacentral:lncRNA from 1 species
CCCAGGUGUGUGACCCCGGUUGUGGGACCCCGACCCACGGAGGCAGGCAGGCGCUCGACCGACACGAGGCAGGAAGCAUGGUGACCAGUACCGACUUUAUUGGGAUCUCCAGGCGACUCCGGCGGGCAGGGAGGAAUCGCGCGUGCUUUCUUUGUUCAAUCUGUUUUAUAGGGGCAGAGGGCCUGGGGCGGCGGGAGAGCUGAUCUGGCAGGUAGUGAUAGGCUAGGGGGAGUUGACCUGGCGGGUAGUGAUUGGCCAGGUUGGUUGCUAGGCUGGAAACCUGCCGGGCGGGAGUUUGUGGGAGGCGAGGUUACGGGAGAGCUGAUGGGGUGGAUGGUGAUUGGUUCAGUGACCGGCCAGGCGGGAAGGUUGCUGGUCUCGGGCCGGGCCUGGAUGGAAUGAGAUAAGGGCCCCUCCCUGCAGGGGAGGAAGGGCUACCUUUGCUGGGAAUUAGUCCCUUUCCACAUGGCCGGGGAAUGGGGCCAAAAGUCCCCUACCAGACACCAGGGAGCAGCCAUGGAGGGCUGAGUGUGGCCUCGCUGGUCCAGUGUGGCCGACCUUGGAUGUGGUCAGGAGCCCAGGAGUUUGAUCUGGGUUCAGGCUAAGGGUGUUGAAAAUCAUGUGGCAGCUAGAUCCAGACCUGUGGAAUCAGGGACCACGCACUGUGGCGUGCAAGAGAGUGGUCACGUCUGCAUAUUCAUUCAGUGUGUGCGCAUGUGCACGCCUGCAUUCAUGUGUGUACACGAACUGAGGUGCGUGUGUGGGCGUGUGCACCGUGUGUACAUACAUACACCAUCACAUCUACAGGCACACGUGUAGCUCUAUCCAGGAUUUGAAGGUGUCAAUUACACACAACCCUGUAUCGCCCUGGAAGAGUCUCAAAAAGACUCCCAAGGACUUAGGGUCUUCUAAGGAAAGAAAUAGCUCAGCCCGGUCAAGAUCCGGCCCAGAAAGGAUCUGUCGCUUCGUCCCCUCCCUCUUGCCACUCCAGGGUGUUCAGGUGUCUGCUGACCAUCACACUCUUCUCUUUUUUUAUUUUUAUUUUUUUAAAGACAGGGUUUCACCAUAUUGGUCAGGCUGGUCUCAAACUCCCAACCUCAGGUGAUCCGCCCGCCUCAGCCUCCCAAAGUGCUGGGAUUACAGGCGUGAACCACUGUGCCCGGCUCUUCUCUUCUUUUGACAAAAACUUUGGAGAGAAAGUUUGCAAAACAGCAUUCUGCAAACAUUGGCUGCUUAAAAGAAUGGAGACAACUGUGCCAUUCUGGUGGAGCUUCGCUGCUGCCCUGAGAAUUCUGGCUGCCUCUCGGGCUGCAAAGGACAGGGGAAACAGCCUCCAAGAGGGAAAGGAAGGUCCCCGUGGCAAUGUGGCUGGACGGAGCAUUUGAGCCGACUUCUGUCCCCUGAGCAUGUGCUGGGAUGUGCAGGAGCUAGGUGCUCACUGCUCACUUGGAGCUGAG